rnacentral:rRNA from 1 species
AUUGAACGCUGGCGGCAUGCCUUACACAUGCAAGUCGAACGGCAGCACGGGAGCAAUCCUGGUGGCGAGUGGCGAACGGGUGAGUAAUACAUCGGAACGUGCCCAAUCGUGGGGGAUAACGCAGCGAAAGCUGUGCUAAUACCGCAUACGAUCUACGGAUGAAAGCAGGGGAUCGCAAGACCUUGCGCGAAUGGAGCGGCCGAUGGCAGAUUAGGUAGUUGGUGAGGUAAAGGCUCACCAAGCCGUCGAUCUGUAGCUGGUCUGAGAGGACGACCAGCCACAC